rnacentral:rRNA from 1 species
GAUGAACGCUGGCGGCGUGCCUAAUACAUGCAAGUCGAGCGAACGGACGAGAAGCUUGCUUCUCUGAUGUUAGCGGCGGACGGGUGAGUAACACGUGGAUAACCUACCUAUAAGACUGGGAUAACUUCGGGAAACCGGAGCUAAUACCGGAUAAUAUUUUGAACCGCAUGGUUCAAAAGUGAAAGACGGUCUUGCUGUCACUUAUAGAUGGAUCCGCGCUGCAUUAGCUAGUUGGUAAGGUAACGGCUUACCAAGGCAACGAUGCAUAGCCGACCUGAGAGGGUGAUCGGCCACCCUGGAACUUGGACACGGUCCAGACUCCUACGGGAGGCAGCAGUAGGGAAUCUUCCGCAAUGGGCGAAAGCCUGACGGAGCAACGCCGCGUGAGUGAUGAAGGUCUUCGGAUCGUAAAACUCUGUUAUUAGGGAAGAACAUAUGUGUAAGUAACUGUGCACAUCUUGACGGUACCUAAUCAGAAAGCCACGGCUAACUACGUG